AGGGACGAUGUCGGAUCCUGGGCGUAAGCGCGCGCAGGCGGCUGUCUACGUCCGGGGUGAAAGCCCAGAGCUCAACUCUGGGACUGCCUUGGAUACGGGAUGGCUUGAGGAUCGGAGAGGCAAGGGGAAUUCCACGUGUAGCGGUGAAAUGCGUAGAGAUGUGGAGGAACACCUGUGGCGAAGGCGCCUUGCUGGCCGAUUUCUGACGCUGAGGCGCGAAAGCGUGGGGAGCAAACAGGAUUAGAUACCCUGGUAGUCCACGCUGUAAACGAUGAGUGCUAGGUGUCGGGGGGUACCACCCUCGGUGCCGAAGCUAACGCAUGAAGCACUCCGCCUGGGGAGUACGGUCGCAAGACUGAAACUCAAAGGAAUUGACGGGGGCCCGCACAAGCAGUGGAGCAUGUGGUUUAAUUCGAAACAACGCGAAGAACCUUACCAGGACUUGACAUCCCGCUGACCAGUCUAGAGAUAGACUCUCCCUUCGGGGCAGCGGUGACAGGUGGUGCAUGGUUGUCGUCAGCUCGUGUCGUGAGAUGUUGGGUUAAGUCCCGCAACGAGCGCAACCCUUGGAUUGUGUUGCCAUCAUUCAGUUGGGCACUUACAAUCGACUGCCGGUGACAAACCGGAGGAAGGCGGGGAUGACGUCAAAUCAUCAUGCCCCUUAUGUCCUGGGCUACACACGUGCUACAAUGGGCGGUACAAAGGGUUGCGAAGCCGCGAGGUGGAGCCAAUCCCAGAAAGCCGUUCGUAGUUCGGAUUGCAGGCUGCAACUCGCCUGCAUGAAGCCGGAAUUGCUAGUAAUCGCGGAUCAGCAUGCCGCGGUGAAUUCGUUCCCGGGCCUUGUACACACCGCCCGUCACACCAUGAGAGUCUGCAACACCCGAAGUCGAUAGUCUAACCGCAAGGGGGACGUCGCCGAAGGUGGGGCCGAUGAUUGGGGUGAAGUCGUAACAAGGUAACC
rnacentral:rRNA from 1 species